UUCGUUAUUUGGUUCGGUUUUUCGGUUAAAACGGUUUGGUUCGGUGUUAGAUAAGGAAAAAUUUGGAUAUCGGUGUUUGGUUCGGUUUUAGGUUGUUAAAAACCGAAAAAACCGAAUAACCGAUUUGACCGAACAUAUGAAAACCAUGUUAUUUUCAGGUAAAUGGGCCACGCAUGCAUGUUCAGGCCUGAUCCAUUUUUAUCACUGAUCUAAGCCUAAUUACCAUGUUGUUUGUUCCCUAUAUAAACAUCUUUAUAAGUUUAAACCCUAGAUCUCAUUUCUUCUCAACCUCACACAGUCGCCUCACUCUCCCUUUCUUCCUAUUCUUUUCUUUUUUCAUCAGAUAACCCUAAAUUUGUGAUUAAUUUCUUCAAUCUCUCUAUAACACCUUAAAAUAUAACACCUUUAAAUAUAACCCUCUUUUUAGUAAAAAAAAAUUCUGUAACAAUUAGGGUUGUGAUUUAAGAAAGUUUAUAAUUUUCUCUUCUUAAAUCUGUAAAUUUGCUUUAAGAAUGAAGGUUUGCUUGAAGCCCUAUUAAAGAUCUGUAUCAAGAUUAAGAUGAUGAAGAUCCUUUUUUUUUGUUGUUGCUUCUUUUGAAUCAGAUUUAUUGAAUUUUGUAUUCGUCUGUUAAUUUGAUUUUUUUGCUGUAAUUAUUUAUUGUAAUUUCAAUUUAUGCUGUUGUAUUAUGAUUUGUAAAGUUCAUCUAAUAUGAAUAUUAAUUUUUUUAUUUUA